AUAAGAAUUUCAUACAGGCAGCGGACCAUUAUUAUCGCGGGUAAUCCAGGUUGUCUUUUUCCAACAGUUUUUGUAAAUCAGUUCAAAUACAUGUUUAAUUAGCAUUAAUAGUCAGCAUGCUUAAAUGUACCUUGAAAGGAAUAUAACACUUCAUUGUGGAAUUAUAGUGUUAACAAAAUUUAAUGUGUAAAAUUGCCAAAAUAAAAAAUAUAUACACAAAUAAAAUAUACAGUUACAUGAUUAAAAAGAAUCAUAUAAAAUGAUACCUUCCUGCCAAUGUUUAGGAGAGGGGGGAAAAAGGGUGCAGCUGAUUUGAGAUUCUGUUAAAAGUAAAUAUGACUUGCAACAUCUUACAAAAUAUUUGGUUUUGUGGAAUAAUAGUACGAGUAAGAAGACUUAAAAUGGUUUGCAUUUUUACUUUUUAUUUAUCGAGACUGCCCAUAUUGCAUGAUUUAUUUUUUUCCUUGAUGAAAAUGUAACUGAGCAGAUUUUCUAAAAAAAAAAAUAAAAUAAAAAAUAAAAAUAUGUUAAAAAGUUGCUGAAUUCUUUAUUUUAUUGCUAAGAAACCAGAACCACAGUUUAACAAUAUAACCCUUGAAGGACUGAAAGUAAAAAGCUGGCCUCAUUUAACAGCACAUAUAAGCUAUACACAAGACAUUAGUAAGAGGCUGAAGGCGAUACUUGCAGGAACUAUGUAAAAAUAAAAAUAAACUCAAGAACAAGUAAUAAGAUUCAGUUCUUAAAGGGUUAACCAGCAACCCCAUUAGCCCCCUGACUGCUUAGAGGGUGUAUAAUUCAACCCUCUGUGACUCAUAGGGAUAAUGCAUUUAACAAAGCAGUCAUUCAAACCCACACUGUAGUGCUCACAAACAAGGAGUCUGGCACAAAAAAAAAAAAAAACCCCAACAAAAUUAAACAAAAAAAAAAAACAUUUGUUCAAUACUCAACAUAAACACAGCCGCAACAGAAAAGAAAGUUAACACAUAGCUAGACAUAAUUUAAAAAAAGAAAGCAAUAUACACAGAUCUUUGCAGAGUUAUUUGGUAUAAACAGUUUGUCAUCUAUUAUGUGUACACAGUAAUUACAGGGCAAAUUACCAGUUAAAAGGACAGUAAACUUUUGGGGCGUUUUGACGUUUUAUUUUACAGAAACUGAAAGCUAAAUAUCUGCAGCAUUGCUCAAUUAUAUAAUUUAUUUUAAAUAAAGUAAGAAAAGCCAAGUUUAUGUAAUUUCAAGCACACUAUCUUAUACAGCAAAAAGUGCGAGUUAACUCCUUUAAGUCUCUAGGAUCAUAGAAAGACAAAAUAAAAAUGUGACUGAAUAUUUCUGCAUUAUAAGAGCUAUAUAAUUUUGCCAUUAUAUAGAUUAAGAUGUAUUAAUGCCGCAUUUUGAAUAAUGUUACUGUCCCUUUAUAACUGGGAUUUAUAACCUAAUUUAGGGUAUAUAAACCCCCACUUCUAUCAAAUAAACCACAUAGAAAGUAUUUACUUCUGACUUAGUAGACAGCAAGGGCCCAUCAUAAAAGAGAGAAGACAAAAAAUAUGGACAAUGCCAAUACAGUAAAACAAAUCUGUCUGGACGAAAUGCAACUUCUUCAACCAGCUUUAUAAAGAGGUUUCAUUAGAUGAUAAAUUCAAACCUAAAAAACAUUGCACAAAGAUGAGACUGCACCAUUUUACAGUACUGUUGCAGACAUUACAGAACAAGGAGCUAACUUUACCGAUAUACGGUACAAUGCUCAGACAAUUACAAAGCUGUGGAAGACAACUCUGGAAAUACAGCUUUAAUAAUGUAUGUACAGAUAAGCACAACAAUCAUUAGACAAUUAGUUCUCGUAGUGUUUGAGCCAAAAUGAUGGGAUAUUAGGUGGAAAAAAGUUUGCUGGUGAAGUCAAUUAUUUCACACAAUUUGUGAAGCGCCAAUAGGGUUGUUCCAUGUUUUUUUAAACGGUUUAAAUAAGGUGGGUCUUCCCACACCAACAAAUAAUUUUUUUUACUGGUCACACAUAAAUGGCUGCACAGCAAGAAGAAAAACACACUUUAUACUUUGGUAACUUAUACUUCCAUUGUCAUAAAUCAUUAUACAAAAGCAAGAUGUGGCAUUGAAUCAACAAAGCGGCACUGUCAAGACGCUGACAACAGACAUUACUGUAAUACAUUACAAGCACAAUUAACAGACAAGACAAGACAAAAAAAAUUAUUGUAACUUCCAGUAAACCAUUUACAGCAAGGAAAACCAAGAGAUAAGGCCACAAUGAGUUCUGUUCUUGGUCACUAACAGAGAUGAGGCAAGGCAGUUUUUUGAUGUUUUUUUUUCCGAUUAUUAUUAUUAUUUUUUUUUUUUUUACUAAAAGCUAACACACACAAAAAAAAACAGCUUCAGUUUCUAUACAAAUGGUAUAUAAAAAAAGACAAGACAUUAAGAAAAAGGCUUACAGCAUAACCACUUUUUUUCCUGGGAUGGUGAGAAAUAAAGCCUCCCAGCAAUUUCCUACAUUAUGUCUUUACCAGGAUUUUUUUCACAGCUGUAGUGAAGUGGUAUUAUAGUGUUUUGGCAGGGGUAUACACAAACAGCAUAUGAACAACAAAACAAAAAAUUCUAAAUAUGAAACAAGGAGAGAAAAAAAAAUACCUAACUGCAUUUGCAAUAUUUAGAAAAGACUGUGCUCUUAGAGCACUCAUAAUGUCUGCGGGUGAUAUUUUCUGCUGGUUAAUGUAGCGAAGAAGCAAACCUGAAAGGCACAUAAUGCUACGUGGCUAGCAAAAAUUCAGGUUUAGAGUCACGUGAGCUGGACAUUUAACAUAGCUUCCCGCAAAGGUAAAGGGGGACACAGACAGGAUAGACACUACUCACUCACAGACAGAACAGCAAAGACUGUUGGCUCUUCUAUAUGGCAAUAUGCAGUCAUCAGCUGCCUUAUAUGAGACACAUGCAGAUAAAAGGCAAAUUGUGAAACAAUGUCAGGCUCAGUAUUCUAGGUAAACAUCCCAAAUUCCACUUAAACUGGACUAAGCUACAAAAACCUAAGCGCUGUCACAUCACGGUAUUGACCUAAAUUGAGUUACUUAGAAUGAACGUUAAAAAAGGGUUUAUAUCUUUUCUAUGAUUUGCAUUAUCUAACAGUUACCGGUCGUUAGAAAUAUCACUCCAGUUAAAGCACCAUUUCUAGACUAGCCUUUUGAUGAUUUUAUCAGAGGUUUGCUUGCUCACAGAAGGAUGCUAUCCUUUCAGCUUCACACGAGUAAUAUUUGGCCAUAACAGCUGAAAUGUGUAAUGAAGGCAGCAUUCUUCUCGUUCAUAUGUUUGACUUACAGCAGCAGCAAUGCCACCUGUCUCGCCACCUUUGGCACUGAACGACAAUCAACUGUACUCUAAACUCUUUACAAAAAAAAAAAAAAAUCAGCUGGCUUUUUGGAAUGCACGGUGAGCUUACUCAUCUGUAACUGUUCAAGCACCAGAGGGGGAACAACUCAUCGAUAUGAGUUGCCUUUAUGUCUGCCACUGAAAUGGGUUAAUGAAGCAAGAUGAACUGGGCUGUGAUCACGUGUAAAAAGUUAUCGAUGUUUAAUUAUUAUAAAAAAAAUGUAAGUAAAAAAAAUAAGCAGCGUCCAACCACAAACUGACUAGACAGGAGGCGAAGCUGUUUAAAAUGAAGCUGAAAUAAGAAAGCUUAUUUCAAAAUCAAUUUAAUUCUCUCUUCUCUUUCUACAAUGUUAAAAUGAAUUGCUGUUAGGAAUAUAUUAAAAAAUAGCAACCCCCAUCUGCUCAGUUGUAAGGAGCUCAAUACACCUGCCUCCUAAAAUCCCAAGUGCAUGCAUGAUGGCAUCAAACGGCAACAUACCAUGCAUGUUACCUAAUGUAGGCCCUGUGCAAAAUGCAAAUCUCUCUUGGCAGAAUGUCCAGCCCUGCCGAAGUUCGCUUCUUUGGCAAGAGAGUGCAAAUUACUGGCCUUUCUAGUAAAGUGUAUGAUGUGUCACGUUAUGCCACAUACUAGUUUCCAGGAGGGUGUGUAUUAACGGACUCUUGACAACGUCAGAUAAGAAGUAAUAUGUACUAUCUUACAAAAGUUAUUUUUUUAAACAGUGAAGAAAUAGAAUUAUGAAGGGACUGGUUUCUUUCUAAAAUAAUCCCAGCAUUAAAUUGUACAUAUCUCAUAAUUCUAAUCUCCAGAGCCCAAAAAUGGAGAUAAACAGAGACAUCUAAUGGGAAAAUAUCACCUUUAAAAUAAUAAUUAAAAAAAGGUUAUAAAAACACUUAACUUACACUUAAUACAAGUUAUGUACAAGAUUUUAAAACCUGAACAGAACCACAAAAAAACAAAACAAAAAAAAAUGAUCUUGAUUUUAAAAAGAAAUAAAUAAAAUAUCUGUAUGUUUUGCUAAUAUGGAGUAGCAGGAUAUGAAUGUGAUUGUUUAAAUGCCAUGUAUGUUUACAGGUACAUUGGGACCACAGAGAGUCUCUAUAAAUACAUUAACAUCUUCACUGUCAGCAGCCUAACAAGGUGCUCAAGAGCAGUCCAAUGAAGAGGCUAGAGACAAAAAAAAGAAAAAUAGGGAUAACACUACAUAGAACAAUAGAAAACAGAAUAUAAGAGACUAAAAUCCGGGCACUAUUGACAUAUACUGUUCGUAUUGCAGGCAAGGUAGAGGCAUUUUUUUUUGUUUUUGUUUUUUUAAAGCUUUAGCACUGACUUUCAUAAAAUCUUAAAAACAAACUAUAUGAUGGCCAAGAAAAGGUUCUAUGGUAGAAAAAAAACAAAAACCCAUUCAAUUAAAAGAAGAAAUAAAAAACACUUUUCCAGCCUUUGACCAAAAAAAAAA
rnacentral:lncRNA from 1 species